rnacentral:rRNA from 1 species
UACGUAGGGUGCGAGCGUUGUCCGGAAUUAUUGGGCGUAAAGGGCAGGUAGGUGGUCUCGUUUGUCUGGGGUGAAAGCCUUGGGCUUAACUCAAGAAGUGCCCCAGAAACGGCGAGACUAGAGUACUGGAGAGGGUCGUGGAAUUCCCGGUGUAGCGGUGAAAUGCGUAGAGAUCGGGAGGAACACCAGCGGCGAAGGCGGCGACCUGGACAGUUACUGACACUCAACUGCGAAAGCGUGGGGAGCAAACAGG